CAGUCGCCGCGGUAAUACGGGGGGGGCAAGUGUUAUUCGGAAUGACUGGGCGUAAAGGGCACGUAGGCGGUGAAAAGGGUGGAAAGUGAAAGUCUCCAAAACACUGGCGGGGUGCUUUCUUGACCAUUUCACUUGAGUGAGAUAGGGGAGAGUGGAAUUUCGUGUGGAGGGAUCAAAUCCUAAGAUAUACGAAGGAACGCCAACCGCGAAGGCAGCUCUCUGGGUCCCCACUGACGCUGGGGUGCGAAAGCAUGGGGAGCAAACAGGAUCAGAUACCCCGGUAGUCCCUGUCUCUUAUACC
rnacentral:rRNA from 1 species